CUAAAUGACUCUCGGCAACGGAUAUCUCGGCUCUUGCAUCGAUGAAGAACGUAGCGAAAUGCGAUACUUGGUGUGAAUUGCAGAAUCCCGUGAACCAUCGAGUCUUUGAACGCAAGUUGCGCCUGAAGCCAUCAGGAUGAAGGCACGUCUGCCUGGGCGUCACACAW
rnacentral:rRNA from 1 species